rnacentral:tRNA from 2 species
GUCGCCGUAGACCAACUGGCAGAGUCGGUGGCUCGAGAAGUCACCCAGUGGAGGUUCGAAUCCUCUCGGCGACA